rnacentral:rRNA from 1 species
ACGCUCGACACCUACGGGGGCAGCAGUGGGGAAUAUUGCACAAUGGGGGAAACCCUGAUGCAGCGACGCCGCGUGAGCGAAGAAGUAUUUCGGUAUGUAAAGCUCUAUCAGCAGGGAAGAAAAUGACGGUACCUGACUAAGAAGCCCCGGCUAACUACGUGUCAGCAGCCGCGGUAAUCUGAGCGGGCUGGCAAGGC